GUUUGUGGCUCAGUGGUAGAGCGCUUGCCUAGGACAUCUGAGGCACUGGGUUCAAUCCUCAGCACCACA
rnacentral:tRNA from 1 species